CUUUAUUAUUUAGAAAAAUAAAAAUGAUCCAGAGCUCUACCCGUUCUCACCUAAAAUUCUGGAGUAGGUAAUGACUGUCUACAACCUGGUACAACAUAUGCCCCCAUACUAAAACAAACAAACUCAUUUGCCAUACAAAUUGUUUACGAUUCAUUAAAAAGCAAAAUUGCAUAUCCCGUCGCUGGCAGCUGAGGCCGCGUCUCCACGGGCGGAGGGGGCAUUCACUGAGUUGCCUUUGUAUGCUGGGAGGACCAAGCCGGAGGUUCCCACUAUGAGCCCGGAGUCUGUGCAGCCAGAUGACGCAUGAGCUCUAUUCAAAAUACUCAAGAUUUGGAAGCAACCUAAGUGUACAUCAGCAGACAAAUGGAUAAAGAAAAUGUGGUACCUAUACAAAAUGGAGUACUAUUCAGCUGUAAAAAAGAAUGAGAUCCUGUCAUUUGCAACAACAUGCAUGGAACUGGAGGUCGUUAUGCCUCUGCCUCUGAAUGUGAAGGAAAACUGGACCAGCUCAGUGUCAAGCCUGUAAAAAAUUUAUUAUAGUGAUGAAAAGAAGACAUUGUACGAUAAAGGAUGUCAUUUUUCAAGAGUCAUUAUCACAAAUUAUUAACACUACAGUCACUGUGUGAGCCCCGUUGGAGCCAGUUUUCAGCUUGGAUUUCAGGAGAACUUCUGAGGAAGAAUAAGCAUGCCUAUCUCCCAGUCUUCCCAUUUGUGUCCUGGGCCUCUUAUGGCUUUGGUCUGUAAGCAGCAGAGACUGGCUCAGGCUGAUAAAGGAGAGAAGAAAUUUAUUAGAUGGUAUCAGGCAGUUCACAGAAUGGUUGGAAAGCUGCAGAGCAGGUGUGAGGUGAGGGCUGGAGAGGAAUGAUCUGAUGAGCAAAGUGCUCCCUGAUCCCCCAGCAUUGCUUGACUGUGUCAGGGUCUGACAUUGCAACCUCAGACACUGAGGUGGGGAGAAAGGGAGGAUAGGAGAGGAGAGGGGAGGAAACAGAAGGGGAGGGUAAGAGAGGGGAAGGGAGAAGAGAGCAGAGAGGCAAUGCAAGGAGAGACAUGUUUCCUUGUGUCCCUAAGAUCUUGAUUCAGUCCUGUGCCUUAGAUGCAAAUGAAACCAGGAAAGCAAGUAUCUAGCAUUCCUGCCUCUUUAAGGAGAAGCAAUUUUAUCCUACAACAAGACUCAUACUGGGCAGCAACAAAAAUGACUAAUGUCCAUGACAGUUUUCUGCCUCAAAGCCUUGGCCUUCACCAACCCUUGGUCUCCAAGGAACCCUCUAGCAACAUCCUCUCUAGAUACUGAGUGCUGAACCCUUCCUUCUUGUCUUCUAAACCUCAGAGCCUUCUCUCUUAAUGGAUCAUCCACAGAAUCCUGGCAUUCUCUGUUGCAGAAGCACCUGAAUGUUCAUCUAGGGCAAUGUUUUGAACAUGCUCCGGGGAGCCACAGGGCUUCCUCAGACACCCCACCGGAGUGAAGGCCCUUUCCUCCGUCCUCCCACCACACACAGCCUGCUGUGAUUUGGAGCAGGUUAAGUUUUGAACUGUUUUGCAUAUUGGGCUUUUGCUUUUUUGAAGACAGAUUU